rnacentral:rRNA from 1 species
GGAUCGGAGUCUGCAACCCGACUCCGUGAAGCUGGAUUCGCUAGUAAUCGCGCAUCAGCCAUGGCGCGGUGAAUACGUUCCCGGGCCUUGUACACACCGCCCGUCAAGCCAUGGGAGCCGGGAGCGCUUGAAGUGCGUCGCCGCGAGGCGCGCCCUAGAGCGAGACCGGUGACUGGGGCUAAGUCGUAACAAGGUAGC